CCUUUUCUUGCAAAAUAAUUUAAAUUUAAAAAAAUCUCUCUUUUUCCUUUAUGUGCACCAUCGAUACCACUUUUAAUUAAUUUGAUUUUCCUUUAAUUAGCUUCCUCCUCCCUAGCCUCCCCUUCCUCUUCUCUUCAAUUUUCUUUUCUUUUCUUUUCCCCUUAUUAUCGCUGCCCAAACCACCAAGAAUCACCAUAUCUUUUUCCUUUCUUUCGCAAUGGUUUCUUGCAUCAUCCUCCUCUCUUUAUUGCUGACAUUUUUCCUUAUUUUUCCAGCCAUAAAUCUGAAAUCUUUGACCUCCAAGAACGAUCUCCAUUGCUGCCCAAGAAGCUCCAUUGCUUCCCCUUCCUUCUAGCUAGUGUAAGUGUCUAUUUUCUUUAGUUUUCUUUAUGAAUCUUUUAAAAGAACCCCAAAAUUUCCAGAUCUUGAAUUGGGGUGAUUGUUAAUUAUUUUAUGGAUAUUUUUCUAACCUUCAAAAGUGAUUUCAAUUGACUUUUUAAAUCAGUCCCGAUUUGCUACCGUUAGUGGUGGUACACCACUCCGAGAAGAACCAAAAGGGGGUUGCUUUUUCUUUAAUUUUUCCCACCUAUUUUCAGCAAUAUCUUGGUUUCAAGAAUAGCUCCUAAUCAGCCUUAAAUCAUGUGUGAUUUAUGAAAAUUAAAUCUUGAUAAUUCAACGACUCAUAUUUGACAAUUCGAGAAGCAUAAGUGUGGUUGAUUGUGGGCUAGUGCAUAGUUUCGACUUAAUUGUUGGGGAAAUUGAUAAUUGAUUGGAUUAAAGAAUUUUAUGAUUUUAUAGCUACUAAUUUUUCAAUAUUUAGUGGUGUUAGAUGCCAACCCAAACGCCCCAAACCAACAGUGAAGUCGUUAGACAUUCACGCGUACAUUUCAUAUCAAACCAGUGUAAAGAACCUAGCUAAUUUAGAUAUGAAAUGUCAUUAUGGUUAUGCUGAUUGAUUUGAACCCAUAAAAGGGUAUUUUAUGGCUGUUUAAGUGAUAUAUUAAUUUUAUAAAAUAUUUAUUUUUAAUUUAGGCUUGAUUUAAGGUCUUAAGGAGAAAUCACAGGUUUCACCAGUGCGCUGCAGUAGUGCGAAAAAUAAGGUGUGGGUCCUAAAUUAUUAACUUAAAUAUUUUAAUAAUAUUUUAAAUUAUCUAAAUGUGGAUUAAGCUUGUUGGUCAGACUUAGUUUAAUGUUUAAGUGAAUGUGUUAAAGUGGCUAAAUCAGGUACGUUACUCGCCUUAACUAAAUGGCAUGUUUGCAAAAUUGUAUGGUUGACUGAAUAGUUGAUUGUUUGGUACUAAUAUGAAAGGCUUGUUGAUGUAAUGUGUGAUUGAUUGUAUGUAUAACAUGUAUUAUUUUGAAAAUAAAUAUUGAAUGCCCGAAAUCUUAUUGGGUAAAAUGCCAUGAAAAGUAUUGAAUGGAAAAAAAUUGUUAUACAUACAUUGGAAAUAUUUUCCUAAAGUGUUAACGGAUGAUGAUAUGAUAAAAUGUCACCGUAUUGAUGGUGAAAUUGAACGCUUGAUAUGUGAAUGUUAUAACGAUGGCAUGUAAACUAUGUUUUUGAAAGAAAAUGUAUGAAACAUGCAUUUGAUUGAAAUAUUGUAUGACAUAUCGAAUGUGCAUGGGGUGGGAUAUUGUGUUUGAUGGGGGAGUUCCGUGGAGUAAUGGCGACAUAUUAAGUUCGCAUUAUAUGUAGUUAGUGCAUUGCACCGGGAGUACUGUGGAUACUGGCGAUUUUGUCACAUUUUAUGUUAAAUGGUAGAAUAUAUGUACUAUGUUUAUAUGGUGGUUUAACCAUAACAAGAUUUGAACACAUUGUUUGGAGUUUGAUAGACGAGUUAUGGGGUAGGAAAUUAUUUUCGUAUUAUGUUACGUUCAUGACUCAUUCUAAUGUGAUAGUGUUGUUAUGAUUAUGUUACAUGGAUUCUUGUGUGAUUGAUAUUAAACGUAUGUUAACUGUACUUAUUGAUUAGCCUCACACUGAGCUAGUUAGCUCACUCUAUAAUGGAUAACCUUCUCAGGUAAUGAUUGAGACUAGGAUUGAACAUGGCAUGCGAACGUACGACGAACUUCAGACUUAGUUUAUAUCUUAUUUAAAGUUCCCUAAAUUUAUUUGGUUUUUGGACUGCAAAGCUAUUUGAACUGUGAUUUGGGUUUAUUUCUGUUUUGGGGAUUUUCAUGCAUGCAUAAUUUACAUACUAUAAAUUGAUUUAUAAGUAUAUUUUGAAAUUGGAUUGAGCAUGUUACUUGGCUUAAUAAAUAAUCAGAUUUUUAAUCGGUUUUCAACUCUAACUAAAUUUAAUAGGGUUUUGCAAAAGCAAUGACGAGCAAUGUGUUUUUCUUAAAACCAUGCCAAUGUUACUAACUUGACUUAAUAAAAGUUGAAAUUAUUAAAUGAACAUUUUCCCAAAAGAAGAAAGGUAACCGUAGCAUUAUUUAAAAGAUAGUGUAUUUGAGGUUUUCAACCAACGAUAAGGUAGAUUCGUAGUUUAGGUCUCCAAUGUUACCUUCACGAUUCGGCCAUAAUAUUUAUGCCGAGUUUAGGAGGUUACAUUUAGUGAUAUCAGAGCCAAGUUCAAAACCUCUGACUGAAUUUUUAUUCUUUUCAAAAAUGAGUCUACAUGCAUGCAUCCAUAAAAAAGGGAAAAUUUUAGGAAAACCAAACUGCAUUAUUUUGAAAAGUAUUUCUUUCAUGAAACAAAGAAGUCCAAAGGUCCAAUACCAUGCCCAUAGAAAUAGUAUUGAAACUUUAGAAAGACACUAGAGACUAUUGCAUAAAAUUUUAAAUGAAAGAACUUAGUUAAAAGUGCGAUAAGAUAUUAAACAAAAAUACUAAAUAUAAUCUUACUUGUAAAUUAUAUAUUCUAAAAAAAUCGAAAUGAAUACCCAUGGUAUGAUAUUUCGUGGUAGGCGGGGUCGUAGAGGGCGAACUCUAAUGGCUCUGGUUGAGUCGACUACAUAUCAAGAGCCUGCGCAGAAUAAUGAACCAAAUGAGGCUGUUACUGAACCCAUCACUGAGGGUGGGAAUAAGGAUAAUUGAGACUAUAAUAAUAACAAUGAAUAUGAUGAGGAUGAUCCAGUGACACAAGCUUUGUUAAGGGCUUUACACUAGGUUGUUGGGCCCCCGAUUGGUGGUAUUAGUAAUGGGACUAUUGCUGAGAGGCUUCGCUCUAGUGGGACGAAGUUGUUUAAGGGUAUUGCUGGAACUACCCCUAUAGUGGCUGAGUACUGGAUGGAGACCACUGAACGUAUAUUGGAUUAUUUGGACUGCAGUCCUGAGUAGAAACUUAAGGGAGCUAUGUUUUUAUUGAGGGAUGAAGCAUACAAGUGGUGGUAAUCAAUGGUUAGGGGUACGCUACCCAAGCAUAUUGAUUAGGCCUAUUUUUAGGAUGCCUUUCAAGGUAAGUUUGUAGGUCCUCACUAUGUGGAGGCUCGACGAUUGGAAUUUAUUGAGUUGAAACAUGGUGAUAUGACCAUUUCUGAGUAUGAGGCGAAAUUUUUGAGGUUGAGUCACUAUGCACCUAGUAUGGUGGUGUCUGAACACAAAAAGAGUUUUCAUCUUUUGAAAAGUCAUAGGUAUGACUUUAAGGUUCAGGUAGCUCCACAUUAGGAGCGUGUGUUUGAGGCUUUGGUCAAGAAGGCCAAAAUUAUUAAGGAGAUUAAGUGUGUGGAGCGCGAGAAAAAUAGGAAACAGAUAGGUCAGCCUAAGAGAGAGGUGGGCUCUACUGGCCCAAAUCUGUGUCAUGUUAAGCGAGCCAGUGAGGCUAAACCACCAUAGAAUAGGUAAGUAGUGGGCCCUAAAGAAGGGCAAAUUCAAGUAUGUCAGCAUUGCGAGAAGCGUCAUCCGAGUGAGUGUUAGAGAAGAACGGGUGCUUGUUUGGCUUGUGGCUCGAUAGAGCACAAGAUUAAGGAUUGUUCUCGUUGGAAUGAUCAGAUGUAAGCACUAGUUCGGAAUUAGGGCCCAGUUAGGGGUCAAAAUUAGAGGGGUAAUCAAGGUGCUCAGAGAAGUCGUAAUCAUAACAGAAAUGGUAUUGGUAAUUAGGGAUAGAGACCACUGGCUCAGGGUAUGAAAUGGGCUGAAGCUAGGCAACUUGCCUUGGUAUAUAAGACUAGAUGUCGAGAGGAUAGAGAUGCGGCUGACGUCAUAGUAGGUACUUUCACUAUCUAUCUGGUGUCUUAUUUUGCAUUGAUUGAUAUAGGAUCAACCUAUUCUUAUAUUGCUUGUGAUGUGGCUGUAAAACUAGGGAUUGGGGUAGAGAAAAUUGAAAAUACUGUUACUGUAGUCAGCCCUUUAAGAUCAUCUAUACUUGUGAAUAAAAUUUAUAGGAGAUUCCCUUUAGAGAUGCAAAGAGAGAUUUUUCCCACCGACUUAAUGGAAUUUCCUUUCAAUAAAUUCGUUCUAAUUUAGGGGAUGGACUGGUUGGUUGAGCACCAAGUCCAUUUGGAUUGUGCAUUGAAUAGGGUAACUUUGGUGACUGAGUCUAGAAAGGAAAUUGUUAUGGUUAGAGAAUGUCGAAAUUAUUUAUCCAAUGUAAUCUCUGCUAUGGUAGUAAAGAACAUGGUAUGGAAAGGGUGUGAAGCGUUUAUAGCUUAUGCAUAAGAUGCAAGCAUCGUUGAUCCUUCUAUUGGUAGCAUUUGCAUAACAAAAGAAUUUCUUGAUGUUUUUCUCAAGGAACUAUCAAGGUUGCCUCUAGACUAGGAAGUGGAAUUCGGUAUUGAAUUGUUUCCAGGAACGGCACCGAUGUCCAUUACUCCCUACCGCAUGGCACUUAAAGUGCUUAAGUAGUUAAAGGUAUAGUUUCAAGAACUAUUGGAUAGGGUUUUCAUUAGACCUAGUGUUUCAUCAUGGGGCGCACCAAUUUUGUUUGUAAAGAAAAAGAAUGGUACACUUCGGUUAUGCAUUAAUUGCAGACAGCUGAACAAGCUAACUAUAAAGAAUAAAUAUCUUUUACCAAGAACUAACGACCUAUUCAAUCAAUUCAGAGGUACAAUUGUCUUCUUUAAAAUUGACCUAAAAUCCCAGUAUUACCAACUUAAGGUAAAAGAAUAUGAUAUUUCCAAUACUUCUUUUAGGACUCGUUAUGGACAUUACGAGUUCCUUGCCAUACCUUUUAGGUUGACUAAUGCGCCAACAACACAUGGAUCUUAUGAACUAUGUCUUUCAGCCUUUCCUUGAUUAAUUCGUCAUUGUGUUCAUCAACAACAUUCUAGUAUAUUUCAAUAUAGAAUCUGAGCAUGAGGAACAUUUGAGGGUGGUCUUACAGAUACUUCAUAAAAAAGUAGUUUUUUGCUAAACUUAGUAAGUGUGAAUUCUGGUUGAAGGAAAUUAUUUUUCUGGGUUACGUGGUAUCAAUUGAAGGUAUCUGCGUAGAUCCCAAAAAGGUAGAAGCCAUCUUAGAUUGGAAGCAACCAAAGAAUUUCUUAGAGAUUCGAAGUUUUUUUGGUCUCGCUUGAGUGUGUUUGAUGAUGAGGGUAUCUUAGCUAAGUUGCAAGUAAAGCCUGUUUGGGUAUAGGAGAUUAAAGAUAAGUAAGGUUUAGAUGAAUCUUUAGCACUUUGAUUUAAACAAGUUAAAGAUGGGUUGACUAAAUAUUUUGGGAUUAAUUCUAAGUGAGGUUUUUGCUUCAGAGGUAGGUACUGUGUACCCAAAUAUCAGAGUUUGAGACAAUUUAUAUUCAAGAAGCACAUAGCAACCUUUAUGCUAUACAUCUUGGUAUUACUAAAAUGUAUCAUAAUUUAAGAUAAAUGUAUUGGUGGUCAAGUCUUAAACGAGAAGUAACGAAGUUGGUGUUGAAAUGUUUGACUUGCUAGCAAGUUAAGGCUAAGCAUAAGUUUCCAUCAGGGUUACUACAACCAAUUCGAAUUCUGCAAUGGAAAUCGGAGAGAGUGACAAUGGAAUUUGUUAAUGGGUUGCCUUUAAAACCUACUAAAAAAUAUUCAAUUUGGGUAAUAAUGGAUAGAUUGAUGAAGUCCGCCCAUUUUAUUCCCAUCCGCACUGAUUAUUCUCUUCAGAAGCUAGCUAAGCUCUACAUUUUUUAGAUAGUAAAACUGGAUGGAGUGCUAAUAUUAAUUAUUUUAGAUCGGGAUCCUCAAUUUACAUCUCGAUUCUGAAAAAAAUUGCAUGAGGCUUUAGGUAUUCGAUUAGAUUUCAUUAAGGGUUUUCAUCCAUAAUCCGAUGGUCAAUCAAAAAGGGUCAUCCAAAUUUUAGAUGAUAUGUUAAGGAGUUGUGUGAUUGAUUUUCAGGGUAGUUAGUGUUGGAUCACUGGCACCUCUACGGCGCAGCAGAAAAAAAAAUAAAAAUUCAACGAUCCUAACCAUGGAUUUAUGUGUGAGGAACGAAUCGAGGGGAUAAAGGUUACGAAAUUACCGAAUAUUUAUUCUGAGUAGAUAGCAACGCCUCAACAAUGAGUAGUCUGAUCUGCUAUCGAACCAAGCAGCAAUCUAUCGUGAGCCCGGCCUCUACGUAAUCCACCCAGUUGAUUAUGAACGGAAUGAAUCCCCAAAACAGUUUUUGAAAAUAAUUUUCUUUAACGGCUGCUAGACCCAAGCAAAGAAAAAACGGGAUUCUUAUAUAUCUUUUUUUAGGGUUUCUAGAAAUUAAAAUAAAUAUAAUAAUAUUUUAAACUGAAAAUUAUAAUUACAUUAAUUAUAAUAUAAUUUCGGUAAACCAUAUAUUUAUUUGAACUUAUAUACUAACCAAAUUCAUGUUCUCAUAAUGCGUACAACAACCUUGUACAUAAUGUGUUCGAUAUUUGAUUACCCAGUUAAAUUAAUUCUAUAAUUAAUUUAAUUCAAGCGACAACCAAACACAAUACCAACUGUGUUUUAUUCCGUUCAUUUUAACUAUAGGGUGUGACCCUGUAGGUUCUUGUAACGUUAGCAGUAAUACUAGAACGAUUCCAAUGUUACAAAUAAUGAGUGGCAUCUAGCAAUGCAUCAUUGCUACCUAAGUCACAAGAAAUCAUGAUUCGAUAUAACCUUUUUAUGAUUAACCUUUUAUGAAAUAAUCCUUAAGUCCUUUAUCUCUGGAUAGGACACAAGUCAUGGAAUAGUCAUUGUUGUUUUAAUAAAAUCAAACCGUUUAUUUUCAAAAAAAUGGUGUCAAUAGUCACACUUGCAUAAUCCAUUCCAUGUUCCUUGAUAUCUUAAGUAGACUACGAUAUACAAAUAAGUAUGACAUCUCAUAUCAACUUAUUUGAGCAUGGCCAUGCAUUUCUAGUCUCACUCAAUCAAGUGGCCUAAGAUAUUACUCCCAUUAUGUAGGAGGGGCUUAUCCUAUCAGGAUCAACCAUAUCCCUCUACAUAGAUCGUGGUAUAUUCAACAUCAGCCUUUAUAGAACAACCAGUUACGGUAUACGUUUGACUGUAUCAAAAUAUACAACUCACGAUGUUAGGAUUAUGAUGAUCUCAAGUCUGAGGAUCAUAUACAUAUUAAUCACUAUGAGUAAUGUUGUGACAAUUAUAUAAUAAUCCAAAAAACAUACUCAUAACGGGUCAGUCCAAUUUGUUAUUCUCUAACACACAUAUUCAUGCAUCGAUUCUGGCAUUCCAUAUCAAUGACAACUCUUUAUCAUCAACCAACUACAUGUUAGUCUUAAUGCAUUAUCGUUGUCCUAUCCAACAAUAAUACUUGACUAAGGAACUUUUAAGAAUAAUCAUAUUAUUCUUAGGACAUUACUAUAAAACAGUUUAUUUAUACACACAGAAAAGAAACUGAAAUAAUAAUGGUAACGCCUUAUAUUAAUAAACAUGAUAAAUCAAGUAUGUUAUUACAACCAUCUCAUGAUUGAUCUUUGGGCAUACUCUAACAAUCUCCCACUAGCACUAAGACUAAUCACUUAUAUAUCUAAUACCAAGCGACUUAGUGUGAUGCUUGUGCUUCUGCUGUGUCAGAGGCUUGGUCAGGGGAUCAGCAAUGUUACCAUCUGUAGGUACUCUGCAUAUCUCUACAUCCCCUCGAUCAAUAAUCUCUCGAAUAAGAUGGUAGCGCCUAAGUAUAUGUUUGGAUCGCUGGUGAGAUCUAGGUUCUUUAGCUUGUACAAUGGCUCCAUUGUUAUCACAUCGGAGUUCUAUAGCAUCUGAUAUGCUAGGCACAACCCCUAGUUCAGUAAUGAACUUUUUGAUCCAAACCACUUCUUUUGCUGCCUCACUGGCUGCAAUAUACUCGGCCUCUGUUGUAGAAUCGGCUAUUGUACUUUGCUUUGAACUCUUCUAACUCACAGCACCACCAUUAAGGCAAAACACAAAACCUGAUUGUGAUCGAGAAUCGUCCUUAUCGGUUUGGAAGUUGGCAUCAGUGUAACCUUUUACACUUAACUCUUCCUCACCUCCAUAUAUUAGGAAAGUAUCCUUAGUUAUUCUCAAGUACUUAAGGAUAUUAUUGACUGUGGUCCAGUGACCUUCACCAGGAUCUACUUGGUAUCUGCUCGUCAUACUUAAGGCAUAUGAGACAUCCGGACGGGUAUAUAACAUGGCAUACAUGAUAGAUCCAAUAGCGGAAGCAUAUGGAAUUUUACUCAUGCGUUCUCUCUCUUGUGGAGUUGAAGGACACAUUUCCUUCGAGAGUGAAAUAUAAUGUCUCAUAGGUAGGAAUCCUCUUUUAGAUUCUUCCAUACUGAACCUUUUCAGUACUUUAUCUAUGUAUGUACUUUGGCUUAGACCUAGUAGUCGUCUUGAUCUAUCUCUAUAGAUCUUUACUCCUAAGAUGUAUGUGGCUUCGCCCAGGUCCUUCAUAGAAAAACAACUUCCUAACCAAGUCUUAAUAAACUACAAGGUAGGUAUGUCAUUUCCUAUGAUAAGUAUGUCAUCCACAUACAGUACCAAGAAUGUUAUAGUGCUCCCACUAACUUUCUUGUAAACACAUGGCUCAUCUUCAUUUUUGAUAAAACCAAACUAUUUGAUUGCAUCAUUAAAACGAAUAUUCCAACUUCGAGAAGCUUGCUUUAAUCCAUAAAUGGAUCUUUGUAGCUUAAAUACAUUUCCAGCAUCCUUUGGAUUGACAAAACCUUCAGGUUGUGUCAUGUACACAUCCUCUUCAAGUUUCCCGUUAAGGAAAGCUGUUUUGACGUCCAUCUGCCAAAUUUCAUAGUCAUGAAAUGCAGCUAUAGCGAGCAAGAUCCUAAUGGAUUUAAACAUAGCUACAGGAGAAAAGGUUUCAUCAUAGUCAACACCAUGAACUUGGCAAAAACCUUUAGCGACUAAUCGCCCCUUGUAUGUUUUUACAUUACCAUCCAUGUCGGUCUUCUUUUUGAAAACCCACUUGCACCUUAUGGGUUUAACCCCUUCGGGUGGGUCAACCAAAGUCCAUACUUGGUUUUCAUACAUGGAAACCAUCUCAGAUCUCAUGGCUUCAAGCCAUUUCUUAGAGUCUGGGCUCAUCACCGCUUCUUGAUAAGUCCUAGGCUCAUCUUGAUCUAUAAGUAGAACGUCACCAUGCGUUGUAAUGAGAAAUUCAUAAUUCUCAGGUGCUUGGCGUUCUCUUAAAGAUCUACGUGGUGGUUGUGUUUCUAUAGAAAUUACUUGUUCCUCAAUCCCUUGUGGAACUUGCUGUUGUUCUAUCUCUGGUUCAGUGGUAUUUUGUGAUUCUCGAAGUUCAUCAAGUUCAAUCUUUUUCCCAUUUCCUUUUCUAGAAACAAAUUCUCUCUCUAGGAAGACACCAGUCCGAGCAAUAAGUAUUUUGUUCUCAGUGGGAUUAAAGAAAUAAUAUCCUUUGGUUUCUUUUGGGUACCCCACAAAAACACAUUUUUCAGAUUUGGGUUCAAGCUUAGUAGACGUCUGACGUUUAACAUAAGCUUCGCAACCCCAAAUUUUCAUAAAAGACAUACUGGGACGUUUCCCAGUCCAUAUCUCAUAUGGCGUCUUUUGAACUGAUUUAGAUGGAACACGAUUUAGUGUGAAAGUAGCUGUCUCAAGUGUAUGUCCCCAAAAAGAAGGUCACUAUGUUACUGAUGAAAUUGAAUGCUUGAUAUGUGAACGUUAUAAUGAUGGCAUGUAAACUAUGUUACUGAAAAAAAUGUAUGAAUUGUGCAUUUGAUUGAAAUAUUGUAUGACGUAUCGCAUGUGCAUGUGUUGGGAUAUUGUGGUUGAUGGAGGAGUUCAAUGGAGUAAUGGCAGCAGAUUAAGUCUGCAUUUAUAUGUAGUCAGUGCACUGCACUGAGAGUACUGUGGAGACUAGCGAUUUUAUCGCAUUUUAUGUUAAAUGGUAAAAUAUUUGCACUAUGUUUAUAUGGUGGUUUAACCACAACGAGUUUUGCUCGCACUGUUUGGAGUUGUAGACGAGUUAUGUGGAACUCGUGGUGUGUAGCGGAUGGUUGGUGUAGGAAAUUAUUUUCGCAUUAUGUUACCGUUCAUGAUUCAUUCUAAUGUGAUAUUGUUUCUAUGAUUAUGUUACAUGGAUUCUUGUGUGAUUGAUCUUAAUCAUAUGUUAAAUGUACUUAUUGAUUAUACUCACACUGAGCUAGUUAGCUCACCCCAUAAUUGAUAACCUUCUCAGGUAAUGAUCGAGACUAGGGUUAGACAUGGCAUGCAGACGUACGACGAACUUCAGACUUAGUUUAUAUCUUAUUUAAAGUUCCCUAAAUUUAUUUGGUUUUUGGAUUGUAAAGCUAUUUAAACUAUGAUUUGGGUUUAUUUCUAUUUUGAGGUUUUUCAUGCAUGCAUAAUUUACAUACUUUAAAUUGAUUUAUAAGUAUAUUCUGAAAUUGGACUGAACAUGUUACUUGGCUUAGUAAAUAAUCGGAUUUUUAAUCGGUUUUCCGC
rnacentral:lncRNA from 1 species